UGUUCCUACGGGACGCAGCAGUGGGGAAUAUUGCACAAUGGGGGAAACCCUGAUGCAGCGACGCCGCGUGAGCGAAGAAGUAUUUCGGUAUGUAAAGCUCUAUCAGCAGGGAAGAAAAUGACGGUACCUGACUAAGAAGCAUCGGCUAACUCCGUGCCAGCAGCCGCGGUAAUACGGAGGAUGCGAGCGUUAUCCGGAUUUAUUGGGUUUAAAGGGUGCGCAGGCGGCGAGUUAAGUCAGCGGUAAAAUUUCGGGGCUCAACCCCGACGAGCCGUUGAAACUGGCUUGCUAGAGUGGGCGAGAAG
rnacentral:rRNA from 1 species